AACCAACAGGGAUUGCCCUAGUAACGGCGAGUGAACAGGCAAGAGCUCAGAUUUGAAAGGCACUUUUGUGCCGUUGUAUUCUGAAGUUAGGGUCCUGAGAAACGAUGCUUAAGUCUUCUGGAAAGGAGCGCCAUGGAGGGUGAUAGCCCCGUCUAGCAUUGACCUCAUAUAGGAUCUUAACAUGGAGUCGAGUUGUUUGGGAAUGCAGCUCAAAUGGGUGGUAUGCUCCAUCUAAAGCUAAAUAUCUGCGAGAGACCGAUAGUAAACAAGUACUGUGAGGGAAAGAUGAAAAGAACUUUGAAAAGAGAGUGAAAAAGUACGUGAAAUUGUUGAAAUGGAAGGGUAGGCCGCUAACCAUGUAGAGCCGUGUUUGGGGGGAAGAUAAAUGCUGUAGAAUGUAGCUCCUCGGAGUAUUAUAGAUGCAGUUCAUAUUCCCACCCGAGCGCGAGG
rnacentral:rRNA from 1 species